rnacentral:rRNA from 1 species
GUCUAUGGCCACGCAACCCUGAACAAGCCCGAUCCCAUCUGAUCUCGAAAGCUAAGCAGGGUCGGGCCUGGUUAGUACUUGGAUGGGAGACCACCUAGGAAGAUCAGGUGCUGUAGGCA